CCUACGGGAGGCAGCAGUGGGGGAUAUUGCACAAUGGGGGAAACCCUGAUGCAGCGACGCCGCGUGAAGGAAGAAGGCUUUCGGGUUGUAAACUUCUUUUAAGAGGGAAGAGCAGAAGACGGUACCUCUUGAAUAAGCCACGGCUAACUACGUGCCAGCAGCCGCGGUAAUACGUAGGUGGCAAGCGUUGUCCGGAUUUACUGGGUGUCAAGGGCGUGCAGCCGGGAAGACAAGUCAGAUGUGAAAUCCCGGGGCUCAACCGCGGAACUGGAUUUGAAACUGGUUUUCGUGAGUACCGGAGAGGUCAUCGGAAUUCCUUGGGUAGCGGUGAAAUGCGUAGAUAUAAGGAAGAACACCAGUGGCGAAGGCGGAUGACUGGACGGCAACUGACGGUGAGGCGCGAAAGCGUGGGGAGCAAACAGGAUUAGAUACCCGAGUAGUC
rnacentral:rRNA from 1 species